UCCAGGGUUCAGGGGUCAUGCUGUCCCAGGUCAUGCUGCAACCAUUGUCCAUCCUCUACCCCUCCUCCCCGCUGCACCUGCCUCAGCCAAUCGCGGUCAACCGCACCGUCGCUGGCGACGACCACCAUCAUCAUCAUCAUCAUCACCAUCACAGUCCGACAGGAAGCUCACAACAUCAGACAGCAUCCUCCAUGAAGUCAGAGCUCAGAGGCGACGCCCACCACAAGCUAAUCAAAACGGAGCAUGCCCACGACUCAUACAACCAGGAAAUGACCUCAUCGGUCAUUAGCGCGCCACAGUCCUAUAGCGAUAACAACCCGUCUGUGAUCGUCCAUUCUGGGGGUAAUCACUGUUGCCAAUCGAGUCUCCAGACUCGAUGAAGAAGAGACGAAUCCACCGUUGUGAUUUCAACAGCUGCAACAAAGUCUACACCAAGAGCUCUCAUCUGAAGGCACAUCGCCGCACACACACAGGAGAGAAGCCCUAUAAGUGCAUGUGGGAGGGGUGCACGUGGAAGUUCGCCCGUUCGGACGAACUGACUCGUCACUUCCGUAAACAUACGGGCGUCAAACCGUUCCAGUGUCCCGACUGCGAACGCAGCUUCUCCC